UUUAGAAGCACUUUUAGGGAAAAAAGUCCUUUUCUUCAAAAAGUUUCACCGUUAGAAAAGGAUGAGAAGCUAAAAAUUUCUCCUUUUCUUCAGCUUGAAGUGCUUUUGGCUGGAAAUUGACCAAAUUAACCUGUCGUUUUCUCCCACAAACGUUCUUUCCCUUCCUCUGCUGGUUCUUUGGAACUGUCUUCUCCCACAAACUUGCUUUUGGCUGAAAAGAACAGAAAUUUGAUUUCUCAUUCAAGAUAGUUGCUACGGCUUUGAGGCAACACUCCAGUGGUUAAAAGCUUAAAAGGCACCCAGGAGAAGCCGAUAUUCCUCAACUAGCAAAAGUAGAAGUUGAUCAUCUCUUUUUUUCUUGUUUAAAACAAAGCAGUUCACUCUCUUUCAAGGGUAUUAAGGAAGUGGAAUUAUGAUGAAUGGACGGUAGAACAGUGAGAUCUGGUGCAAAAGAUGAGAAAUAAGCAGCAAAAGGGAUGCCGGGUUUUGACUUGAGAAAUAAGCAGUUCAUUUUGCACUAAACCGUUAGUUGAAUUGAGCUUUUUUUCUGUUAAAAUAAUUAACCGAAUCGAACCAAUUUCAAUUAAUUUUGUCGGCUUUCUAUUGAA